UACGAAGGGGGGCUAGCGUUGCUCGGAAUCACUGGGCGUAAAGCGCACGUAGGCGGAUUGUUAAGUCAGGGGUGAAAUCCUGGAGCUCAACUCCAGAACUGCCUUUGAUACUGGCGAUCUCGAGUCCGGGAGAGGUGAGUGGAACUGCGAGUGUAGGAGGUGAAAUUCGUAGAUAUUCGCAAGAACACCAGUGGCGAAGGCGGCUCACUGGCCCGGUACUGACGCUGAGGUGCGAAAGCGUGGGGAGCAAACAGGG
rnacentral:rRNA from 1 species